rnacentral:rRNA from 1 species
CAAUAGCGUAUAUUUAAGUUGUUGCAGUUAAAAAGCUCGUAGUUGGAUUUCGGUUAAGAGCGACCGGUCCGCCGUUUGGUGUGCACUGGUUGGUUUUAACUUCCUGUAGAGGACGUGCUCUGGGUUUAACGACCUGGACUCGGAGUCUACGUGGUUACUUUGAAAAAAUUAGAGUGUUCAAAGCGGGCUUACGCUUGAAUAUUUCAGCAUGGAAUAACACUAUGGGACUCCUGUCCUAUUUCGUUGGUCUCGGGACGGGAGUAAUGAUUAAGAGGAACAGUUGGGGGCAUUCGUAUUUCAUUGUCAGAGGUGAAAUUCUUGGAUUUAUGAAAGACGAACUUCUGCGAAAGCAUUUGCCAAGGAUGUUUUCAUUAA